rnacentral:rRNA from 1 species
AUGCAAGUCGAGCGAACAGAUAAGGAGCUUGCUCCUUUGACGUUAGCGGCGGACGGGUGAGUAACACGUGGGUAACCUACCUAUAAGACUGGGAUAACUUCGGGAAACCGGAGCUAAUACCGGAUAACAUUUGGAACCGCAUGGUUCUAAAGUGAAAGAUGGUUUUGCUAUCACUUAUAGAUGGACCCGCGCCGUAUUAGCUAGUUGGUAAGGUAACGGCUUACCAAGGCGACGAUACGUAGCCGACCUGAGAGGGUGAUCGGCCACACUGGAACUGAGACACGGUCCAGACUCCUACGGGAGGCAGCAGUAGGGAAUCUUCCGCAAUGGGCGAAAGCCUGACGGAGCAACGCCGCGUGAGUGAUGAAGGGUUUCGGCUCGUAAAACUCUGUUAUUAGGGAAGAACAAAUGUGUAAGUAACUGUGCACNUCUUGACGGUACCUAAUCAGAAAGCCACGGCUAACUACGUGCCAGCAGCCGCGGUAAUACGUAGGUGGCAAGCGUUAUCCGGAAUUAUUGGGCGUAAAGCGCGCGUAGGCGGUUUCUUAAGUCUGAUGUGAAAGCCCACGGCUCAACCGUGGAGGGUCAUUGGAAACUGGGAAACUUGAGUGCAGAAGAGGAAAGUGGAAUUCCAUGUGUAGCGGUGAAAUGCGCAGAGAUAUGGAGGAACACCAGUGGCGAAGGCGACUUUCUGGUCUGUAACUGACGCUGAUGUGCGAAAGCGUGGGGAUCAAACAGGAUUAGAUACCCUGGUAGUCCACGCCGUAAACGAUGAGUGCUAAGUGUUAGGGGGUUUCCGCCCCUUAGUGCUGCAGCUAACGCAUUAAGCACUCCGCCUGGGGAGUACGACCGCAAGGUUGAAACUCAAAGGAAUUGACGGGGACCCGCACAAGCGGUGGAGCAUGUGGUUUAAUUCGAAGCAACGCGAAGAACCUUACCAAAUCUUGACAUCCUUUGAAAACUCUAGAGAUAGAGCCUUCCCCUUCGGGGGACAAAGUGACAGGUGGUGCAUGGUUGUCGUCAGCUCGUGUCGUGAGAUGUUGGGUUAAGUCCCGCAACGAGCGCAACCCUUAAGCUUAGUUGCCAUCAUUAAGUUGGGCACUCUAGGUUGACUGCCGGUGACAAACCGGAGGAAGGUGGGGAUGACGUCAAAUCAUCAUGCCCCUUAUGAUUUGGGCUACACACGUGCUACAAUGGACAAUACAAAGGGCAGCUAAACCGCGAGGUCAUGCAAAUCCCAUAAAGUUGUUCUCAGUUCGGAUUGUAGUCUGCAACUCGACUACAUGAAGCUGGAAUCGCUAGUAAUCGUAGAUCAGCAUGCUACGGUGAAUACGUUCCCGGGUCUUGUACACACCGCCCGUCACACCACGAGAGUUUGUAACACCCGAAGCCGGUGGAGUAACCAUUUAUGGAGCUAGCCUCGA